rnacentral:rRNA from 1 species
GAUGAACGCUGGCGGCGUGCCUAAUACAUGCAAGUCGAACGCACAGCGAAAGGGUGCUUGCACCUUUCAAGUGAGUGGCGAACGGGUGAGUAACACGUGGACAACCUGCCUCAAGGCUGGGGAUAACAUUUGGAAAACAGAUGCUAAUACCGAAUAAAACUUAGUGUCGCAUGACACAAAAGUUUAAAAAGGCGCUUUGGCGUCACCUAAAAGAUGGAUCCGCGGUGCAUUAG